CACCAACUACAACCGCUGAACCACCAACUACAACUGCAGCACCAACAACUACAACCGCUGCACCAACAACUACAGCUGCAGCACCAAUAGCUACAACUGCAGCACCAACAACUGCUGCACCAACAACAGCCACUCCAACAACUACAAUUUCAGCCCCAACAACUACAACCUUGUUAUCAUCUACAUCUGCAGCUCCUCCUACUGGUCAAACUUCUAACGGUUUGGAGUAUCUGGCUCAUCUAAACAUGAAGUUAAUAUCUUAUGGAGAGAUCAGCAAUGCAACCCUAGUUCAUCUCAUUGAACAGUUUUUCGGAGACCAGCUUCUUAACGGAACCGCCCACAAGGUGACGGUACGAAGCAUUCAACGGGUUAGAGUUAACCCCUAGACAAAUACAGCACCUACACAACCUGUUCUCUGUUAUUUAACCACUAUAUCAAUAUAUUGGAAACAAUAACUGUUAAUGACAUUUAUAAUAUUUGCUUAUUUUAAAUAUUAACAUUUUGUAAAUUUAGGUCAGAAAACCUUCCCCCAGUCUAAAACAGUUAGAAAUUAUUUUUGUUUCAAUGUCAGAGUCCGGAACAGAAAAUCUGAGUUUUAAUCAGUUUAUAAAUAACCUGCUUUCUGGAAAACCUUUAUGAAAUACCGUUUGUAUAGUUUGUGUAGAUUCAACGUAACUUUUCUGAACUCAAUGAUUUUGAUUUUCACAAUUGACUAUGCAAAGUGUAAAAAUGUGUCUUAGAAUAAAAAUGUGACAAAGAAUUAUAUACAUUUUCUAAUCAAAUGUUUAUUUUUUUAUUGUUUUUCUGCAGUCUAAUUUAGUUGAGUUUAUUUUUGCUGAUGUAGAAUCAUUUUAAAACUCAUUUUGAACUAAAUUGUUUUUGUUGAUUACUUCAUAAUAUUUAUUCUAAUAUACAUUUUGAUUGUAUUUUAAUCUUUUCAGCUUUGUAGUUAAAGUACAAUUAAAGAAUUUGUGUGAA